CAGUCGCCGCGGGAAUACGUAGGUGGCAAGCGUUGUCCGGAAUUAUUGGGCGUAAAGGGCUCGCAGGCGGUUUCUUAAGUCUGAUGUGAAAGCCCCCGGCUCAACCGGGGAGGGUCGUUGGAAACUGGGAAACUUGAGUGCAGAAGAGGAGAGUGGAAUUCCACGCGUAGCGGUGAAAUGCGUAGAGAUGUGGAGGAACACCAGUGGCGAAGGCGACUCUCUGGUCUGUAACUGACGCUGAGGAGCGAAAGCGUGGGGAGCGAACAGGAUUAGAGACCCCUGUAGUCCCUGUCUCUUAUAC
rnacentral:rRNA from 1 species